UGCUCCUCUGAGAAUCAAAUGCCACCACUGAUCUGACAGGAGGCGGAGUUCUGCGGUAACAUGAGUGAUGAGGAGUGGCUGCAAAUACAGAUGAAGCUUCGUUUGCUCACUUCCUGUUGUGUGGCCCAGACAGGGCACUGUCUGUGGCCCCAGGGGUUGAGGACCCCUGGCUUUAACAACAGAAAGGUACCAUCUUACAGUUCUGGAGGCCAAAGUCUGAUAUCCAGACCCCAGUUACUGGAUUGGGAUCCACCCUCACUCAAUAUGGCCUCAGCUUAAUGAAAGACAUCUGCAGAGACCCUAUUUCUACUAAAAGCCACAUUCUGAGACUUCUCGUGGGCGUGAGUUUUUGAGAGACACUGUUCUGCUCCAUGCAGGGAGGGAAUUGGGAUCUGAAGACGUUGCAUUCGAGGUCUCGGGGCUCCUGAUGAGCAGCCUCGGCCUGACCUGGGGCAGGUGUGAUGUCUGCGGCUCACCAUCUCCACCCUGCCUGCUGUGGAAUCUCCACAACGACAGGUGCUUUGGAGGCCAGAGUGCAUGCGUACGGGCCCUGCACACGCUGAAUGUCACUGGGAACAAGGACACACCCCGCUUCCAGGAGAAGAUAGAACAUGUCGACCCCUUUUAGCCAUCCCCAGUGCAGGACAUGCUAUUGACUUCCAUGAGACAAACACCUACUUGGAAAUCAGGUUUUUUCUGUACCUUUUGAAGGAGCAGGAAUUUCCCAGCAUUUCCUGGACAAAGACGGAGGCCACAUUCGCUGCAUCCUUUCCAGCAAGAUGUCAUUCUGAGAUUUUUGUCAUUCCUGGGCGUUAUGAGGACUGCCAAGGGACACAAUUCCAUGGGAGGAAAGUUUUCUUCUAAGCUGCAAGCCAGCUCUGGCUUCUGGAGUUUCUCCUUAGGAUUGCAAGACAGUAGUUCCCUGUCCUUUAGGUCUUCUCCAGAAAUACCUUAAAAUAGCAAAUAAAAUAAGAUAUAAGCAAACAAAACCUGAAGUUAAC
rnacentral:lncRNA from 1 species